rnacentral:rRNA from 1 species
CAGGCUUAACACAUGCAAGUCGAGGGGCAGCAUGGUCUUAGCUUGCUAAGGCCGAUGGCGACCGGCGCACGGGUGAGUAACACGUAUCCAACCUGCCGUCUACUCUUGGACAGCCUUCUGAAAGGAAGAUUAAUACAAGAUGGCAUCAUGAGUCCGCAUGUUCACAUGAUUAAAGGUAUUCCGGUAGACGAUGGGGAUGCGUUCCAUUAGAUAGUAGGCGGGGUAACGGCCCACCUAGUCUUCGAUGGAUAGGGGUUCUGAGAGGAAGGUCCCCCACAUUGGAACUGAGACACGGUCCAAACUCCUACGGGAGGCAGCAGUGAGGAAUAUUGGUCAAUGGGCGAGAGCCUGAACCAGCCAAGUAGCGUGAAGGAUGACUGCCUUAUGGGUUGUAAACUUCUUUUAUAAAGGAAUAAAGUCGGGUAUGGAUACCCGUUUGCAUGUACUUUAUGAAUAAGGAUCGGCUAACUCCGUGCCAGCAGCCGCGGUAAUACGGAGGAUUCGAGCGUUAUCCGGAUUUAUUGGGUUUAAAGGGAGCGUAGAUGGAUGUUUAAGUCAGUUGUGAAAGUUUGCGGCUCAACCGUAAAAUUGCAGUUGAUACUGGAUAUCUUGAGUGCAGUUGAGGCAGGCGGAAUUCGUGGUGUAGCGGUGAAAUGCUUAGAUAUCACGAAGAACUCCGAUUGCGAAGGCAGCCUGCUAAGCUGCAACUGACAUUGAGGCUCGAAAGUGUGGAUAUCAAACAGGAUUAGAUACCCUGGUAGUCCACACGGUAAACGAUGAAUACUCGCUGUUUGCGAUAUACGGCAAGCGGCCAAGCGAAAGCGUUAAGUAUUCCACCUGGGGAGUACGCCGGCAACGGUGAAACUCAAAGGAAUUGACGGGGGCCCGCACAAGCGGAGGAACAUGUGGUUUAAUUCGAUGAUACGCGAGGAACCUUACCCGGGCUUAAAUUGCAGAUGAAUUACGGUGAAAGCCGUAAGCCGCAAGGCAUCUGCGAAGGUGCUGCAUGGUUGUCGUCAGCUCGUGCCGUGAGGUGUCGGCUUAAGUGCCAUAACGAGCGCAACCCUUGUUGUCAGUUACUAACAGGUUCUGCUGAGGACUCUGACAAGACUGCCAUCGUAAGAUGUGAGGAAGGUGGGGAUGACGUCAAAUCAGCACGGCCCUUACGUCCGGGGCUACACACGUGUUACAAUGGGGGGUACAGAGGGCCGCUACCACGCGAGUGGAUGCCAAUCCCAAAAACCUCUCUCAGUUCGGACUGGAGUCUGCAACCCGACUCCACGAAGCUGGAUUCGCUAGUAAUCGCGCAUCAGCCACGGCGCGGUGAAUACGUUCCCGGGCCUUGUACACACCGCCCGUCAAGCCAUGGGAGCCGGGGGUACCUGAAGUGCGUAACCGCGAGGAGCGCCCUAGGGUAAAACUGGUGACUGGGGCUAAG